CUGUGAGAUUACAUAUGCAUAUAGUGUUAAUGUUAUAAGAGUGUAUAUCAACUCACAAAGUUAUCAGGUUAAAUAGCUUUAUCAACUAAUAAAAAUGUUAUUGCAUAACUAAUAUUAUACUGUAUGUAGCCCCGCCACGAUAUCCAGCAAAAAUUAUUUUGCUAAGUAUCGUAGUAAAAGUUAAGAUAAAAAUUUUUUUGAGUUGUGCAACAACAUUAACAGUAAACUAUAAUACAAGUCUAUCUUUUUAAAAGUUUGUAUUGCU
rnacentral:misc_RNA from 1 species